GUUUCACAACUUUUCAUAUCAAAAUACAUUGUUUUGAUGGAAAGACCUUCAAUUGUUCUCUGAACAAUUGGUUAAGUCUUUCCACUUUUCUGUGGAAAGACUUAUUGUAUUUGUUCUGAUUAUUAUUAUUAUUAUUAUUAUUAUUAUUAUUAUUUUUUUUUUUCCGCCAACUUUUGUUCUUGCGAUAAAUGUUUGUUUCGCAAUAUGUCGCUUUGAUAUUUCUCAGAUUGUAUCGUAUAGUUUAUGCGCUUUUAAAUUUCACCCUGCUAAGCCGAACCAAUUUCUUUGUAAGAGUUAUCUCCCUAUUUACUGUUUAUCAUCAGAGUGUAUCUCCUUCGUACCAAAAAGAGAUAGCGACAAAAUUCUUUUUACAAAUUGUUCGUUACAUCCUCACUAAUUUUUGGCUCAUUUGGAUCGAAGCGAUUCGAUUAAAUUUUAUAGGAGUUAUCUACCUUUACGGAAUAAAUUUGUCGGUAUGUUUUUUUAACUCAUAAACCGUUGACCGUAUAACCCUGGAAUGUUUUUAUUUGAGUCCCCUGGAUCCUAACUUAGAAAAUUAGGUCAAGGUCAAAGGUCAAGGUCAUAUUUUAGAUUUUUAUAAGUUUUUCAUUUCCCUAUAAUUCUUGAACGGUUAUAGAUACAAAAAUAUUAAGCAGUGAAAAAUGCUUGGUACUUCAAGGGGCAACUUUUUUUACAUUAUGACUAUAUUGAUUUUACCAUCAUGUAAGGGACAUAACUCCCAUCGAUGGUUUUUAAAAAGCCAUUUUUAGGCAAAACUCUUUAACAAAAGGUCCUUGACCCAUAGGGUCUUUUGCAAUGACCUUGUGGAGCAAUGACCUUGACGAAAGUCACAAGGUCAAAGGUCAAGGUCAUCAAAUUAUGUGGUUUUGGCACUAUUUAAACAGUUUUAUGUGUGUUUGAAUUUCAACCAACCAACCAACCAACCAACCAACCAAUCAAUCAAUCAAUCAAUCAAUCAAUCAAUCAAUCAAUCAAUCAAUCAAUGUUUCCGUUUCAUGUGUUUGAUACGGGAUUCAAGGUCUCUUUUUUUUCGCUUGUUUUAAUUGAGCCUAUCAAACGUGUUUAACCAACAUGUUUAACCAAUAUGUUUAACCAACGUGUUUAACCAACAUGUUUAACCAACGUGUUUAACCAACCAACCAACCAACCAAUCAAUCAAUCAAUGCAUGUUUCCGUUUCAUGUGUUAAAUACGGGAUCCAAGAUGUGUUUUUUUUUCGCUUGUUUAAAUUGAGCCUAUCCAACGUGUUUAACCAAUAUGUUUAACCAACGUGUUUAACCAACCAACCAACCAACCAACCAACCAACCAAUAAAUCAAUGCAUGUUUCCGUUUCAUGUGUUAAAUACGGGAUCCAAGAUGUAUUUUUUUCGCUUGUUUAAAUUGAGCCUAUCAAACGUGUUUAACCAGCCAACGUGUUUAACCAACAUGUUUAACCAACAUGUUUAACCAACGUGUUUAACCAACGUGUUUAACCAACCAACCAACCAAUCAACCAAUCAAUGCAUGUUUCCGUUUCAUGUGUUAAAUACGGGAUCCAAGAUGUUUUUUUUUCGCUUGUUUAAAUUGAGCCUAUCAAACGUGUUUAACCAGCCAACGUGUUUAACCAACAUGUUUAACCAACCAACCAACCAACCAACCAACCAACCAACCAAUCAACCAAUCAAUGCAUGUUUCCGUUUCAUGUGUUAAAUACGGGAUCCAAGAUGUUUUUUUUCGCUUGUUUAAAUUGAGCCUUUCCAACGUGUUUAACCAGCCAACGUGUUUAACCAACGUGUUCAACCAACAUGUUUAACUAACGUGUUUAACCAACCAACCAAUCAAUCAAUCAAUCAAUCAAUCAAUCAAUCAAUCAAUCAAUGUUUCCGUUUCAUGUGUUUGAUACGGGAUUCAAGGUCUCUUUUUUUUCGCUUGUUUUAAUUGAGCCUAUCAAACGUGUUUAACCAACAUAUUUAACCAAUAUGUUUAACCAACGUGUUUAACCAACAUGUUCAACCAACGUGUUUAACAAACCAACCAACCAAUCAAUGCAUGUUUCCGUUUCAUGUGUUAAAUACGGGAUCCAAGAUGUUUUUUUUCGCUUGUUUAAAUUGAGCCUAUCCAACGUGUUUAACCAAUAUGUUUAACCAACGUGUUUAACCAACCAACCAACCAACCAAUCAAUGCAUGUUUCCGUUUCAUGUGUUAAAUACGGGAUCCAAGAUGGUUUUUUUUUCGCUUGUUUAAAUUGAGCCUAUCCAACGUGUUUAACCAGCCAACGUGUUUCACCAAUAUGUUUAACCAACGUGUUUAACCAACAUGUUUAACCAACGUGUUUAACCAACCAACCAAUCAAUGCAUGUUUCCGUUUCAUGUGUUAAAUACGGGAUCCAAGAUGGUUUUUUUUUUCGCUUGUUUAAAUUGAGCCUAUCCAACGUGUUUAACCAGCCAACGUGUUUAACCAAUAUGUUUAACCAACGUGUUUAACCAACAUGUUUAACCAACGUGUUUAACCAACGUGUUUAACCAACCAACCAAUCAAUCAAUCAAUGCAUGUUUCCGUUUCAUGCGUUAAAUACGGGAUCCAAUUUUGAGCCUAUCCAAUGCGUUUAACCAACGUGUUUAAGCAACAUGUUUAAGCAACGUGUUUAACCAACCAACCAACCAACCAACUAAUCAACCAAUCAAUCAAUCAAUCAAUCAAUCAAUCAAUCAAUCAAUCAAUCAAUCAAUCAUGAUCAUGAUCAAUAAAUCAUGUUUCAUGAAAAAUCGAAAUUCAAUAUUGUUCUUGCGUCACUUCUGAAAAAAAAUCCACAUGUACUCUGAAACUACAAGUACAAUCGACCUCAAAAUUUGCAGUCAGCAGGGCAUACAUGUACUGAAAGUUUAUAAAAAAACUUGGUGCAGAUAUCUCUCAAAGCUUUUCCUAGAGAAAAGAAAUGGCAAUGCCGUAAAAAUCGCUUGCUAGGUCCGUAAAUCUCAGUAAAAACCUACAAUAAAAUGUCCGCUCCGAGAUUGAAAUACUAAUCUGUGUUACAAACAGGUGCUGAAAAAUGUACAAUAUCAGAAAAUAAUCAAUAAAUGUGUUUUAAAGUUACACCGGAUCAAUUAAAUCCAAAACAUGCACUGCCCGUGAACUGUCAUCAAAAUGUCAAUUUCCUACAAUGACAAAAGAAAUUACAUUGUGUACAUUCCAUCUCUAUACAUGUUGUCUGUUCAAGGUCCCGACCUAAAAAGAAAUUAAAAGACUAAGUUUUUCUUAAUAUAAACCCGCGUCACGUGAUGUCUCCUCAAUCUUGCGCGCGCGCUGUAUCUAAAAUAAAAGAAAAACUUUCCAAACUAAACAUGAAACUUCUCCGGUAACAUAAUAAUAUAGACCCCAUACCAAAGCAAACAAACAAACAAAUAAACAAAUACCCCCCCCCCCCUUUUUCCAAAUCAAUCAAUAAAAAAAAAUCAAUUAUCCAUUCAUCAGAGGGGAAAGACUGCCUAACAAUUGUUUUCAAAACAAUUGCUUUUAUUAUUAUUAUUAUUAUUUUUUUUUUCCGCCAAAUUUUGUUCUUGCGAUAAAUGUUUGUUUCGCAAUAUGUCGCUUAGAUAUUUCUCAUAUUGUAUCGUAUAGUUUAUGCGCUUUUAAAUUUCACCCUGCUAAGCCGAACCAUUUUCUUUGUAAGAGUUAUCUCCCUAUUCACUGUUUAUCAUCAGAGUGCAUCUCCUUCGUAACAAAAAAAGAUAGCGACAAAAUUCUUUUUACAAAUUGUUCGUUACAUCCUCAGGAAUUUUUGGCUAAUUUGGAUCGAAGCGAUUCGAUGAAAUUUUAUAGGAGUU
rnacentral:lncRNA from 1 species